UGGGGAAUAUUGGACAAUGGGCGAAAGCCUGAUCCAGCCAUGCCGCGUGUGUGAAGAAGGUCUUCGGAUUGUAAAGCACUUUAAGUUGGGAGGAAGGGCAGUAAGCGAAUACCUUGCUGUUUUGACGUUACCGACAGAAUAAGCACCGGCUAACUCUGUGCCAGCAGCCGCGGUAAUACAGAGGGUGCAAGCGUUAAUCGGAAUUACUGGGCGUAAAGCGCGCGUAGGUGGUUCGUUAAGUUGAAUGUGAAAGCCCCGGGCUCAACCUGGGAACUGCAGCGAGAACUGGCGAGCUAGAGUAGGGCAGAGGGUGGUGGAAUUUCCUGUGGAGCGGUGAAAUGCGUAGAUAUAGGAAGGAACACCAGUGGCGAAGGCGACCACCUGGGCUCAUACUGACACUGAGGUGAGAAAGCGUGGGGAGCAAACAGG
rnacentral:rRNA from 1 species